GAGUUUCCCUGCACAAGCUCUCUCUCUUUGCCUGCCUCCAUCUACAUAAGAUGUGAUUUUCUCCUUCUUGCCUUCUUCCAUGAUUGCGAGACCUUACCCAGCCAUGUGGAACUAUGGAGCUCAUACAGUCCAUUGAAGGCCUGAACAGAGCAAUAAGCCUGAGUAAGAGAGAAUUCCUCUCUCUGCCCGUCUUCAACCGGGGACAUUGGUCUUUUCUUGCCUUCAGACUCUGACAGGGUCUGGAACUUACACUAUCAACUCUCCUUGACUUCCAGCUUCCUGAGUGCAGCUUCCAUAUGCAACUACUCUUUUACCACCAAAAUCAUGUAAGCCAAUCUUCUAUUGAUUCUAUUUCUCCAAAGAAUUCUGACUAGUACAAUGACCUAUAUUUUCUCCAUGAUUCUCCUAUGGGAUUGAAUGAACAUUAUUUGGUUCUGUGGACUUUGCUGUCAGGCAGGAAGGGGCAACCUAUACAGAGCCUUUGGACUCCCUGAUAAGAAGAGAGGAAAUCUUAGGGAGACAAAAGCAACUAUAAUUUGCAAAGAAGACACCAAGAGAAAAAAGCUACUCGGAGAGGAAAUGAUACCAGGUAGAAAUGUGGAUC
rnacentral:lncRNA from 10 species